GGCCAGUUAGCUCAGUCUUUUGAGUGUGGUGCUAACAACGCCAAGGUUGUGGGUUCAAUUCCCGUUCGAUCCC
rnacentral:tRNA from 1 species